rnacentral:rRNA from 1 species
UACGUAGGGAGCGAGCGUUGUCCGGAUUUAUUGGGCGUAAAGCGCGCGUAGGCGGUUUGAUAAGCCGGGUGUGAAACCUCCAAGCUCAACUUGGAGCGGCCACUCGGAACUGUCAUGACUCGAGUCAGGUAGGGGAACACGGAAUUCCAGGUGUAGCGGUGAAAUGCUUAGAUAUCUGGAGGAACACCAGUGGCGAAGGCGGUGUUCUGGGCCUGUACUGACGCUGAUGCGCGAAAGCGUGGGGAGCGAACAGG